rnacentral:lncRNA from 1 species
UGUGAAUUUUUAAACUCGAUGACCCCAAGUAAAAAUGAGAAGAGACUAAAGAAUGAAACAAAAACAAAUUUGUUGUAAUCUUCGCUGCAGUGUUUAUACAAUUACAAUAUGCAUACAGUCCCAGCUCUCAGGCUGCCACAGCUCUCAGCUGUCUUAGAUACAACCAUAGAAUAUAUACAUAUCCCUAUACAGUCCCAGCUCUCAGGCUGCCACAGCUCUCGGCUGUCUUUAGAUGUUCCAAGGCUCUUUUCCUUAAAGGCCAUAUUCUUACAGCUUUCUGCUGCUACAGCUCCUUAAUUCAAAGGCCAUAUUAUGUUCCAAAGUCCCAGCUCUCUGGCUGCCACAGCUCUCGGCUGUCCAGGGGAUUCCAUACCUUCUCUCGAUGUUUGGUUGUGUGUUCUUCCUCACACGGGGCACCAGUUGUUGUAAUCUUCGCUGCAGUGUUGUUCUUGCCUCUCUGCUGGGGCUCUUCUCCAUUCUCUGCAGCACAGUCCUUCCUGUCUUCUCAGGGGCUCCUCUUGGGCUCUCGACCCACCCCCUAUUUAUUUCAGUUACCUUCACUGUGGUAGUGUGUUGUUAAGUUUCUUGUGUUAUUCACCCAAUUUAUGUAUUGUUCUCCCCUAUUAUGUGUAAAAUGGUUUCGUUCCCCCAGUUUUUCCCGCCACUGCUAGCCUGUCAGCUAAGUUGCUAUAGUAACCGCUAUUCAUAGUUGCCGAUAUGUAAUUGCUCCUCCCCUGGUUUCCCUUAUAAGUGAAAGUUGUUUCCUCCCUGUCCAGUCAAUCACUCCCUUCCUCCUCCCAGGUUUCGAGAACCUUCUCCUCUCUGGAGAUGGUGGUUGGCUGGGGUCCCAGGACACCUCCUUUACCUUUUGAUUAUUGGUCUCCAUGGAGUGUCAGUUCUGUGAAGUUCAUCCCCUCACCUUUCCCGAUUGGUUCCGCCUGUACCCACCCCCCUCCUUUAUAAUCCUGUUUUCACCCCCUAUGAAAAAACCUUUUUCCCGGUUGGUUUCUGCGUGUUUGGAUCCCG